UCACCCAUUGUGAAACUCCCCAUCCUGGGGGAGGUACUGAGCAUUCCCACCUUAACUUGAGCAUAUAUAAACUUCAGGUUUUGGGACUUCUGGUGCCACUUGUCAGACUGAGAGGAAGACCAGAACUUCAACAGGACUGCAACCAUUAUUUCAACAGGACUGCGAACAGCAUCCAGACCAACAGUUCCCAGCAUUUCCACUGCGAGUCACGGGUCCUGUGCCAGAAAGUGAUCCAAGACUGAACUCCUAAGGAGCUCAUCCAAGAACUAGCUGUUUUCUGAGCCUACAGUCCAGGGGCAGGCAGAACAACUUGCGGAGCAGCAAAAGAAAAAAAGAAGAGAGAAAAAAGGAAAAUUUUAGACAAGCUUUCAAGGGAGAAUGUGCUUAUUAUAAUAAAUCACCUACUGCCAUCCAAAAAAAGGCCUUUUAAU